rnacentral:rRNA from 2 species
GCAACCUGCCCUCCUCUUGGGGAUAGCCUCGGGAAACCGAGGAUAAUACCCGAUACUUAAUGUGACCGCAUGACGACAUUGAGAAAGCUUUUGCGGAGAAGGAUGGGCCCGCGCCUGUUAGCUUGUUGGUGGGGUAGAGCCUACCAGGCAAUGAUGGGUAGCUGGGUUGAGAGACCGACCAGCCAGAUUGGGACUGAGACACGGCCCAGACUCCUACGGGAGGCAGCAGUGGGGAAUCUUGCACAAUGGGCGAAAGCCUGAUGCAGCGACCCGCGUGCGGGACGAAGGCCUUUCGGGUUGUAAACCGCUUUGCAGCAGGGACGAGGCGAAAGUGACGGUACCUGCAGAAGA